GACGAACGCUGGCGGCGUGCUUAACACAUGCAAGUCGAACGGAAAGGCCCUGCUUUUGUGGGGUGCUCGAGUGGCGAACGGGUGAGUAACACGUGAGUAACCUGCCCUUGACUUUGGGAUAACUUCAGGAAACUGGGGCUAAUACCGGAUAGGAGCUCCUGCUGCAUGGUGGGGGUUGGAAAGUUUCGGCGGUUGGGGAUGGACUCGCGGCUUAUCAGCUUGUUGGUGGGGUAGUGGCUUACCAAGGCUUUGACGGGUAGCCGGCCUGAGAGGGUGACCGGAAACAUUGGGAAGGAGAAAGGGCCAAGACUCAUAGGGGAGGAAGAAGGGGGGAAGAGGGAAAAAGGGGGGGAAGACGGAGGCAGAAAGGGCGCGGGGGGGAGGAGGGCUUGGGGGUUGUAAACGGUUUUCGCGGGGGAAGAAGGGGGAGUGAGGGAAAUGGGAAAAGAAGACCCGGAAAGAAACGUG
rnacentral:rRNA from 1 species